rnacentral:rRNA from 1 species
UACAGAGACUGCAAGCGUUAUUCGGAUUCACUGGGCGUAAGGGGUGCGCAGGCGGCCAAGUGUGUGAGGCGUGAAAGCCCGGGGCUUAACCCCGGAAUUGCACCUCAAACUACAUGGCUAGAGCAUUGGAGAGGGUAGCGGAAUUCACGGUGUAGCAGUGAAAUCCGUUGAUAUCAUGGGGAACACCAAAAGCGAAGGCAAUUCACUGGCGCAUUUCCUGACACUGAAACACGAAAGCGUGGGUAGCGAACGGG